AUUGAACGCUGGCGGCAGGCUUAACACAUGCAAGUCGAGCGGAAACGAUGGUAGCUUGCUACCAGGCGUCGAGCGGCGGACGGGUGAGUAAUACUUAGGAAUCUACCUAGUAGUGGGGGAUAGCUCGGGGAAACUCGAAUUAAUACCGCAUACGACCUACGGGAGAAAGGGGGCAGUUUACUGCUCUCGCUAUUAGAUGAGCCUAAGUCGGAUUAGCUAGAUGGUGGGGUAAAGGCCUACCAUGGCGACGAUCUGUAGCUGGUCUGAGAGGAUGAUCAGCCACACCGGGACUGAGACACGGCCCGGACUCCUACGGGAGGCAGCAGUGGGGAAUAUUGGACAAUGGGGGAAACCCUGAUCCAGCCAUGCCGCGUGUGUGAAGAAGGCCUUUUGGUUGUAAAGCACUUUAAGCAGUGAAGAAGACUCCGUGGUUAAUACCCACGGACGAUGACAUUAGCUGCAGAAUAAGCACCGGCUAACUCUGUGCCAGCAGCCGCGGUAAUACAGAGGGUGCAAGCGUUAAUCGGAAUUACUGGGCGUAAAGGGAGCGUAGGUGGCUCUAUAAGUCAGAUGUGAAAUCCCCGGGCUUAACCUGGGAACUGCAUCUGAAACUGUAGAGCUAGAGUAUGUGAGAGGAAGGUAGAAUUCCAGGUGUAGCGGUGAAAUGCGUAGAGAUCUGGAGGAAUACCGAUGGCGAAGGCAGCCUUCUGGCAUAAUACUGACACUGAGGCUCGAAAGCGUGGGUAGCAAACAGGAUUAGAUACCCUGGUAGUCCACGCCGUAAACGAUGUCUACUAGUCGUUGGGUCCCUUGAGGACUUAGUGACGCAGCUAACGCAAUAAGUAGACCGCCUGGGGAGUACGGCCGCAAGGUUAAAACUCAAAUGAAUUGACGGGGGCCCGCACAAGCGGUGGAGCAUGUGGUUUAAUUCGAUGCAACGCGAAGAACCUUACCUGGUCUUGACAUAUCUAGAAUCCUGCAGAGAUGCGGGAGUGCCUUCGGGAAUUAGAAUACAGGUGCUGCAUGGCUGUCGUCAGCUCGUGUCGUGAGAUGUUGGGUUAAGUCCCGCAACGAGCGCAACCCUUGUCCUUAGUUACCAGCGGGUUAAGCCGGGAACUCUAAGGAUACUGCCAGUGACAAACUGGAGGAAGGCGGGGACGACGUCAAGUCAUCAUGGCCCUUACGACCAGGGCUACACACGUGCUACAAUGGUAGGUACAGAGGGCAGCUACACAGCGAUGUGAUGCGAAUCUCAAAAAGCCUAUCGUAGUCCAGAUUGGAGUCUGCAACUCGACUCCAUGAAGUAGGAAUCGCUAGUAAUCGCGGAUCAGAAUGCCGCGGUGAAUACGUUCCCGGGCCU
rnacentral:rRNA from 1 species